rnacentral:rRNA from 1 species
UUCCGUAGGGUGAACCUGCGGAAGGAUCAUUACCGAGUGCGGGCCCCUCGGGGCCCAACCUCCCACCCGUGUUGCCCGAACCUAUGUUGCCUCGGCGGGCCCCGCGCCCGCCGACGGCCCCCCUGAACGCUGUCUGAAGUUGCAGUCUGAGACCUAUAACGAAAUUAGUUAAAACUUUCAACAACGGAUCUCUUGGUUCCGGCAUCGAUGAAGAACGCAGCGAAAUGCGAUAACUAAUGUGAAUUGCAGAAUUCAGUGAAUCAUCGAGUCUUUGAACGCACAUUGCGCCCUCUGGUAUUCCGGAGGGCAUGCCUGUCCGAGCGUCAUUGCUGCCCUCAAGCCCGGCUUGUGUGUUGGGCCCCGUCCCCCCCGCCGGGGGGACGGGCCCGAAAGGCAGCGGCGGCACCGCGUCCGGUCCUCGAGCGUAUGGGGCUUCGUCACCCGCUCUAGUAGGCCCGGCCGGCGCCAGCCGACCCCCAACCUUUAAUUAUCUCAGGUUGACCUCGGAUCAGGUAGGUCUACCCGCUGAACUUAAGCAUAUCAAUAAGCGGAGGA